rnacentral:lncRNA from 1 species
GUCGGCCUGCAUCAAAGCCCGAAUCAGGCCCAGCCCACGUCCAGGCCCGAAUGAGCCCAUUGUUCAAGCCCGAAUCAGGCCCACAUCCAAGCUCGAAUCUGGCAUGUUUAAAUGGCAGUUUGGAUGGUCACCAGUCGAUGGACGAAAGAUGGACCAGGGAGGGCCAAGGGCUAGGGCUUUUCAGCCUCUUUGACUUCGAGACUUCGAUGGAAAAAUCAAGAAAGUCAGGAGACAGAAGAAUGAAGAGAAGAGGAAGAGCCGAAGAGGAUGGGUUUAAGGGUU